rnacentral:lncRNA from 1 species
UCAGCAAUUGGAAAUCUGCCCAAUCUUGAGGUGCUCAAAUUACUCGGCCGAUCAUUUGAGGGGGAAAUAUGGGAAAUGGAAGUAGAAAAGUUCCCUAAAGUUAAGUUCCUGAAAUUAGAUUCCCUGGAUAUUGUGAAGUGGACAGCCUCUGAGUACGAGGACCAGGACUAUUUUCCUCGUCUCCAGAAGUUAGUGUUGGAAAGCUGUGAUGCAUUGCAGGAGAUCCCUUCUUGUUUGGGAAAUAGUUCAACUCUCGAAAUAAUUGAGGUGUCAAAAUGUCCCAACUGUACCAGUUCAUUGGAGGAAAUUCAGGAAGAGCAAAGAAGCAAUGGAUAUACAGAUCUGAUGAUCCUUAUCUCAUAAUGGACGAUUGAUCUUCUCAAGUAAGUUUGCUUUGGACAGCCAGUUUACUCUACAUUUGUUUUUUAAGUACUUUACUUAUGCACUGCUACGGGUUAUGUUUAUCUGUUUUGCAUCAAGAUCAAGUUGUUCUUUUUCUUAAUUGUUUUUCUUUUUCUUUUUCUUUUUCUUAAUUAGCAUUGGAAGACUGCAAGUUUUUGGAGGAGAUCCAUUCUCGUUUGGGAAUUGUUUCAACCCUUGAAUUCAGUCCCAACUCUACAAGUUCAGUAAUUCAAAUUCAGGAAGUGCAAAUAAGCGUGAGAUAUGCUGACCUGAAGAUCCUUAUCCUAUAAUGGAUGACUGAUCUUCUCAAGUUUGUUUGAUUUAGGCAGCCACUUUAAUCUACUUUUCUUUUCUUAAUCAAUCCUUUACUUCUGAACUGAAACUGGUUAUGUUGUAUCUGUCUAGCAUUAAGAUCAAGUUAUUCUUGCUUUCUUUGUAACUUUUCUUUAAUUCCUGUAGCAGAAAUUUGAUGUGGGAAAUAUCACUUCCCAAGUUUUUUUUUUAAGAUUUAAGUCAAUGAAGUUGCUGUUUCUUUUUUUCCUCAAAUAGUAUGUUUUGCAUUUUUUUUAAGCUAAUACUGCUUAGUAGUAGCAUCAUGUAAUCUGGCUUGGAAGUAAUGUUUUAGAGUCCAAUUGAUUCUUCUCCCCGUCUACGUACCCAAAUACUAAUGUGGAAGGUAAAUUUUUUAAAAGUCAUGCUCUGCUUGAGCAGUGAAUUGGUUGUAAGUACUUCUUUUGCCCAGGUUUUCUCUUUUUUUUUUUCUUUUUAAUUUUUAUAUAACAACACAUCUUUGCCAAAAAAAAAAACAUUUUAAAUCACAUGGGAUCCUUAGUAUCAACUUCUAUAUUUAUAUCAAGUGUUCCGUUAUUUAAGUUGUCAUAUCCUAUUUAUUUAAGUUUUCUUUACCAUCACGUGACAAGUGAGACUAGCACUGAAAUUUAGUAUUAGAUAGUAGUACAGGGGAUCCCAACUGAUUAUAAAUAGUUGGAUGACCAUUUUAGCCAUUUUAAAAUAAGUUUUGAUGCAAGCACACACCAGAACUGAUUGUUGUACAAUAUGAAGUAAGCCAAGUUUCUACCAAAAAAAAAAGGAAGCCAAGUUAAGAAAGUCUUUAUGUUUUUUUCUCUUUCUAACACCUCCCACCCUUCUUUACACUUUUUUCACUGCCAACUAUCAGGUUUAGAAUUUAAAUCUUGAACUUGGCAUUAAGGAGAACACAAGGCAAACAGAGUUAAUUGUACUAACUUCACUUGGCUUUAAAAAGAUUUUGAAACUUUUCAUAAAUUUAUUCGUUAUGCAUCUUUUGAAUUGUUCUAAAAUUGAUGUCUUAAAAAGUUUCUUUAUAGGUUUCAAAAUACAAAAGUAGGGAUGGCAACGGGGUGGAGUUGGAUCCCUCCACCCCUGCCCUGCUCCCUCGCAGAUACCUGCAGGUGAUAAUUUGCCCAAAACUUCAGCAUGAAAAGAACUUCACACUUCAGAGAUCAAGAAAACAAUAGCCACUAUUUGGUUUAAUAGUAUAAAUUAUCGGGAAGGAAACCAACAAGCUAAUUCAUCGAUCCUCAACUUCAUUAAACACAUUCACCAAAGUAUGACAUGUUAAUACACAGGAUACAUCAAUAAUUCUCAGGAUGUGAUAAUACAUUAUUGGACUUAUGCAAAAGGCAAAAAGUAAAGGUUAGUUCUUUGGACUUAUAUGAAGUGCUAUUGUACUACUAGUUAAAAUUCAUGAGUGUUACCAGAUUACUGCAUAGUGAAGGGUUCGCAUGAGUUUAAUUGAACCAGCUCUGUAUUGGCAGACUUGCGGCAGUUUCAUGGCGAAGAAGUGAAGGCAUUCUGCUCGGACAGAAACGAGAGGCGGAAACAAAAGAAAGAGGAAGUAGACAAAAUCGCAAGAGCAUUUUUUUUUUCCCCCAAAAAAACUUAUUUUUCUUUAGUGGGCAGUGGGUGUUUAAUAUUUUAAACAAAAUUGGAAACUAAUAUGGCUCAUAAUUAAUCCAUAUAUAUGUAUAUUAUUCAUGUGUAUUAAUUAAUUUUAGUGGGCGACAAGGUGCCCCACUACUUUUCUCACAAGGCGGGUACUUGCUUCCGUUGCCAUCCCUAUGUAAAAGGCCUCCCAAGGUAACAUUCAAGAAAAUGUAGAGAAAGAGGUGUAAUUGCAACACUUUUGAAGAGAUUUUAGCAUUAAUUUUUUUAUGCAUUGAUAGUAUACUGAUUUUUUUACCCUGGUAACUUUAUAUGUAUGCUACAUGUCCAUAAUUUGAAUUUCAAAUUAGAAUUUAUGUUACGUGACAUGAUUUAAUUUUGUCAGUGUAAAAAAAAAUUAUACAUUGACAUUAUAUAAAAAAGUUAUCUUAAAUUUUUGGGCCACCCCAACUCAUACAGGAGUUUAAUCGCAAUUGGUGGCGGACCAGGAUUCUUCAACUGCACUUAUCCAAAGAUUGAUCAUCCUUACAAUUCGAAAAAUUUGUUAAAUGCCCUUUAAAUUGAAGACUUUGUAGCCGCAACUAUACAUUUCAGUGUUCAAAAAAUCUACUCAUAUUAUCUCUACCUCACCGCUGUAAACUUUUAUUGUAGGUCUACAAGCGAAAUAUAUUAUUACAUGGGGGAGUAGCUAAAAGUGACUUUAUUGGAUCCAAAAAAAAAAAAAAAAAAAAAGAGUUUUCAGCCCAGUUACAUGGGGGAGUAGCUAAAAGUGACUUUAUUAGAAUCUAGUAAGAAGUAUGCUUCAUCUUCUAUUAGCCCAGUUACUAUGCACAAUGAAGGCAUAACGUUUUCAGCUCAUCUUUAUAUUCUAUCAGCAGCCUUUUAAACUUUUUUGCAACCGAACAUCCAGUGGUUCUUGCCUACUUACUGAAUAUGUUCACAGGUUUCUUGCUAUCCAUGUUGUUGCUGCAACUACCAUAUACAAUGGCAUUUCUAUUUUUUCCUAUAGGAGUUGCUCUGACUACCUGGUUUGGCUUGGCCGUUCUCAUUGAUCCGCCUAUGCAAGAAGCAAGAGGCCUAAAAAACUGGUUGCUUAUUACCAUGUUGUCUAAUACUUUAGUCUUCAGAACUUUACAAAUCAACUUGCUUCUUCAUUGCUAGUACACUUCUUUGCAGGGCAAUGAGAAAUACGAAGCAACCUGCAGAGGUAGUUAACCAGAGAACACACAACAAGUACAAUCCAGAAAUUUCUUUCCACGCAGAUCACAAGUUUACUGAUAUUACAAACAUCAAAGGGUGAGAACUUUCUUCCUCUGGAAAAAAAAAAUCCGAAAUACCAUCAAAUUAACAAGGUUAGGUUACUUUAUUCAUUUGUCCAUUACUUUGCAGACUAUCUGGGAGAAAACAUCAUCAUUUGUGUAAAUUAAAACACUUAAUUCAGUUUUUUACUUAUGAAAUUUAAUGUACUCGCCCAAUGCAUUCAAGCAAAAUUCCAACUUCCACCGAGUAUUACAACGCUAAGUAAAUUAAAACAAUACUACGCAGUCUAUUUUAUACAUGCUAUAGAUCACUAUUAUUUGAUCCUGGGCAUACAUAUAAUUUAACUAUCAUCUCCUAGUUAUUAAUAAGUCUCGACUAGUCUCUCUCAGUCAUGGUUGUCAUACAUCUCACUCGAAUUUAAAAUCUUGAAUUCUCUUUAAUUUACUUCUCAAAGUGUACCUUUUUUUUUAACUUUUAAAAUGGGAUCAAUAAUGUUCCCAUCAUACCUGUUUUAAUAACUCGAACCCGUGAUUUAUUAGAUAUAGGUGGAGCGUCUUAUUUUCUUAUGCUAUAUUGCCAGAAAAACUCACACACCGCAGCUAUAUCAGGGAGGAAGUUGAUCUUUGGAAGAGUAUAAACUUUUUGAUCCCAGCCAAACUCAAAUGCGUAUGCUGAGCGUACUCUUCCGGGCCCCCUUCCACCCCAUCAAAUCUGUUUCCUUCCAAGUUAGCCUUUUGAUGCAUCCCACAUUAACUUUCAAUAUAUCCAUUGCAGUCAAGACAAGCUAAACUCCUAUUUUUAAACAGUUUGGACUGGAUCAUACGAGAAAAAAGCUUCUUUAACAAAUAAUUAAGAAAAAAUAAACCUACAAAAAUGAAAUGUAGUAUUUUGAAAAAAAGUGCUUUGGUUAAAUCUCCCUCAGUUGAUCUUCUAGUUCAUAUUAGAGUUUCGACUCAAUCAUUAAUUUCGAUUUGGGUAAAAGUUAUGUGAAUUUUAAAUUCUAACCAUUGAAUUUUGAAUAUGUGACGUGUCUGUGACUUUUUAUUCCUAGUAAAAAAAAUGGCUUGAAAGGAACCAAAAAAAAAAGCGCUUCUUGAAUUUGUGAGGAAAUAAAAUAUGAAUUAAUCUUAUAUAUACUGACAGUGUGUACACUUUUACCUUUAAAUUUAUACCAUUUAAUCAUAAUUUGAAUUUAAAUAUUAUUUUUUAUAUAUGUGAUAUGCAUUCAAGGGUGAUAGUAUAUACACCGUUAAUAUAUAUAUAUAUAUAUAUAUAUAUACAAACUUGGUCUUGUUUCUCAGGUGAAUAUUUACUAGUCAAUAGUAUCCCUUGCUAAUUUAAUUACACGAACAAUUUCGUCUGUCUGACUCAUGAAAUUAGCAACGACAAUAUACAAAAUGAUAAUCGCGAAACUUGAAUUACAAAAGUAACGUCGCCGUUUUUGUCAAACCAGUAUUGCUUGCCGAAUCUCCCAAUGAACUUGUCUCAUACUUUCUUAAAAGUAAUCCAUAAUUGUGUAUCAGCCCGUCGAUGUGAAAUUUGGAUGUGACCAGGUGAAAUUAAUCCGUGCGUAAAAAUUAAAUCUGUAGUGCUUCAUUGGAAUCCAGUUCUAGAUGACCUUGACAUUGUUAUUGUUGAGAAUAAAUUUUCAAGGUAAUCUACAUGUUAAGAAAACACUGAGAAACUAACACGGCGCAUUCAUUUGAUUAAUUACUAGUGUUAAGGGCACACUUAUAGUUUAGAUUUUUCACAUCAAUACAAUUUAUGUAAAUUUAUUAAGAAUUUUGAUUUAUAUGGUUAUAGUAAUUUGGUAGUUACAAUACUUAAUGUGGUUAUGAGUUUUAUCCAAAAUAUAUAUAUAUAUAUAUAGAGAGAGAGAGAGAGAGAGAGAGAGAGAGAGAGAGAGAGAGAGAGUAGGGGGCGAUAGCUAUGAGUGCUGGCAAAAUGAUUUAUGUAAUUAAGAUAAAAAUUAGUUUUCAUAAGAAUAAAAUUGGAAGUUCAAAAAAUAAUAAAAUGAGCUUACAUAUUGGUGUAGCAUAAUUUUUCGUCUCUAUUAAUAUUUUUGGACAAACUUAGAUAUUGAUCGUUAGUGGAGCAAAAUAAAGCACCUCUACUCUAAUAUUUGAAUUUGUUAAUGUCUACCUAAUAUCUUUGAACAUAAGAAAAUGUAUAGUUUAUGUGUACGCUUUAAUGUGGACACAGAGAUACAAAUGUCAUUAUGUAAUUAGAAUUAAAGUUUGCAAAAGUUAGUCAUUUGAAGUCAUGUAAAAUAAUUGAAAAAUAAAGUUUGUUUUCAAACUAAUAUAGUAUUAGGACAUAUAAAAAUUAUUAGACAUAUUAAGUUAGUUUAGAUUGUCAAGGUGAUUUUUUUUUUUUCAAUUCCCAAUCAAAAGAUUAGUAUUAGAUUAUCAAAUAAUAGUUGAUACUCAAUUAAAUAGACUAAGAAACUCAAGUGAUACUCAAUAGAUUCCACUCAUUAAUUGAUUGUUUUGACUAUCACACUUUAAAAAUAUUUUUGGCACGAGUAUCACCGGAAUAAAUACUUCAACAUGCAACUCACGUACCCCUAUACUAGUAUUAAUGCAAUGAAUGACAUUAGUGGAGUUAUUCGAAAAUGGCACCCAAGAGUUAAGAUUGAUGUUUAAACUUUUGAAAAAUGGUAGAUGUAGUGACAUCAAGAUGUAAGCCAUGGAUGUGAAGGAAAAGGAUAUAUUAGCUGUUUUUUUGGAGUGUUUUUGAAAUAUUUUAUUGUAGCAGUGUAUAUGAAAAAAAUUUACUAUAAAUUUUUUUGAAAUUUUUGAUAUACUAAUAUGGAUGGAAUGUUUUUUGAGUUAUUGUAUAUUACUGUAAUAUUUAUAUUUGAAAAACUUGUUUGUUGAAAAAAUAAUCAAUCCAAACGGAGUCAUAAAUUUGCUGCCGACAAAAUAUCUUGCUUUGGCUUCCGUUAUUGAGAUGUAAAUAGUACGAGUGAUUCCCGAAAGCAUGGUAUAAGUUGUAAGAAUACUUUCCCCUUGAGCAACAUAUAGAUGUUUUUGCCAAAAUAACUCCUUGUCCUCGGAGGAAGCCUAUCAUAUUAAUUUGUUUCUUUAGCGAGCUGAAAAGACGACCAAGAGGAAGCUAAUGCCGCUGUUGAUGAGAACUAUGUUGUUGGACGCACUCUCAGAACGAUGGGUAAACUCACUCGAUUAGAUUAGAUACACUCAGACUAAACGAUUCUGAAAGUAAUUUAAGAGAGACCCAUGAAAAAUUCACGUCCAGUCAAUUAAUAACAGGAGUUGGACAAUACGUGAGAAACUCUACCAGCAAUUUUUGGAUUAGGGGUAGGAGCGGUCAUCAGACUGAUCGCUCUUGAACGGUCUCCUCACAAGACCCAAAUGUGAGGCAAGAAAUAUUCCACGUCAGGAAGCCUUCAACAGGCCCCAAAAACGACGGCGUUCUAAAAAAAAAAAUGUUUAGCCAAAACGGGAACAUGACGGACCAAACGGAAGAGUUUCAAUUUUGAAAAUCAAGUUGAAAAUUUGAAUCAGCCGCACAAAACAAAACUGAGAGAAGAGAGGAGGUAUCCUGCUGAAGGUAGCAAUUAACAGAAAAGUGGGUGGAGAGAGCUGGGGUAUGGUGUUGAGUGAAUAAGGAAGAAAGCAAACAAAAAAGUGGAGAGCCACACAAAACAAAACUGAGUGAAGAGAGGAGGCGUCCUGCUGAAGGUAGCAAUUGACAGAAAAGUGGGUGGAGAGAGCUGGGAUAUGGUGUUGAGUGCAUAAGCAAGAAAGCAAACAAUGCAGUGAGAGUGUUGUAUGCAUUUUGAAGCUGGGUAUGAGAGUGUUAUAUCCAUUUUGAAUGCAUGCAAGGCUGGCGGCAAGGUAGAAGCAAACAGAGGAAAUUAAUCAUCUCACGAAGCCAGAUUUUGUCGUGUAACUUAAUAGCAGAAGCAAUUGCGCUCUCCGAGUUCGGUGAAACAUAAAGCGUAUGGUGAAGACCAAGGUAAUGUUAUUGAAUACAGUGUGUUAAAUGAGUAAUAUGUAGUUGGUCUAUGCUCAUCAUACAAUUUUAGUUUGCCCCUCUCCUGACCAUGCAGUGUGUAUAAAAUGGAGGCGUAGAGUUCAUUGAGGUGAAGGAGAGAAAAAGACAUAUAUGUGAAUAAUAAAAGGGUGUACUUGGUGUUGUAAGUUAAUUACAUGAUGUAAGUUAAUUCAGUACCUUUCUUUCCCCGUGUUGGUAAUUAUAAUAUCUAUUAUGUGCAACCGAAGGUUCCAGUGUAUUAUCCAUUUUCCACUGUAUUAAACAAUUACUUCAACCAAAACUGCAGCAAGUAUAAUCAGCCCAUUUGUUCACAACAAUGUAUACAGCAAAAGAUAACUACAAGUCAAAUCGAUCCACAAUUUAUCUGAUACCAUUGAUGUUUUCUUACCUGUGUUUCUUCUGCUUUAUCUCAUCUCCGGAUCUCCCAACCUUGUACUCCACAAUUCCCGUUCACCUUCUCAAGCCUUUUGAUAUUUGAGUACCAAUCCUAAACUCUCUCCUUCUGCCACUACUUAUUGCUUCUUCUCGCCGUGAUUUUCCUUUGCAGCCACUCUAUUUCUACUACUUCUUGCUAUCCUUUGUAUACUACCUGGCAAUUUCCAAUUCUGCAAUGUUAUUUUGCCUUUGCUUUUCUUUCUUGCUCUGUUUUGUAGAAUUUUGCAUUAAUGAAUAUGGGCAAUUAUUUUGGAUGGAGCGCGGCUUAGCUUUUCAUUUGGAGGAUUCAUUUGGGCGAUAACGGACCAACACUUCAUGAAACAGUCUGUCAACUCUUUUUCUUUUUGUUUUUCCCGUUUCUCCUCAAUACAGUGUCGUUCUAACCCUAUUGAAGCCUUCUUGACAUGGCUUAUUAUGGUCCAUUUGUUGGGCCUUGUGAGGAAACCGUUCAAGAGCGGUCACCCUCCUGCCCUGUAUCCGCAAUUUUUAGUUUCAGAUAUGUGUCUUAUCGCAUGAUGAUGGCAGGAGUUGGACAAUACGUGAGAAACUCUACCAGCAAUUUUUAGUUUCAGAUAUGUGUCUUAUUAUCGCAUGAUGAUGGCGAUCUAAAUCGAAUCUACGUAAAUUUGCUUUAGAAAAAAAAAAAAAGGGACAGAUGAGACUGUCACUGGACCCAUUUGAGAACUUUCAUGACAUUUCUUUGCAAUUAUUUUAGUAGUGCCCGACAACUUUAGGACCAUUAUUGGUUGCCACGUGAAAUAAUAUUUGAUUGAGAUAUGUGAUUCCUCUGUUUUCCAGUGCAUGAGCUGUGCGAAAAUUGAACGUUUAACAAACACCAAAACGAUUGAGCUGACAAAAAGUUUUUUGCAAUUGACCGAAUUGUAAACAGCCCAAACGUUUCAAAAUUUUAAGGGUAAAUUCCACUUUACCCCCUUGUGGUUUAGCAUUUUUUCACAUAACCCCCCAGUGGUUUCAAAAGCUAUACAUAACCCCCUUAUGAUUUGGAUUAAAAUGUCAAAGUGACGGAAAUGAUCAUUCGUAACGGCGUCACCUAAAAUGUCAAAAUUACCCUUAUGUAUAGUUGAAAAUUAUUUAUUAACCAAGGGGGGUUAUGUGUAUAUUUUGAAAAUCAUAAGGGGGUUAUAUGGUAAAGUACUAAAUCAUAAGGGGGUUAUAUGGUAAAAUAUAAAAAGCAUACGGGGUUAAUGUGUCAUGUAUUUAUAAGGGUAAUUUCGACAUUUUUAGAAGUUCCGUUACGAGUGACUAUUUCCGUCACUUUGACACUUUAAUCCAAACCAUGAGGGGGUUAUGUAUAGCUUUUGAAACCAUAGGGGGGUUAUGUAAAAAAAGGGUAAACCACAAGGGGGUAAAAUGUAAUUUGCCCAAAUUUUAAUGAUUAAAGGGAGCCCUUUUUGAAUUAUCAAGGGAAAAAAGGGAGCCCUUUUCGAUUGGUUAGACAGCCGCAGGAAUGCUGAAUCGUGUAUUUUUCAAAAUAUGAUUACAAGUAACCCAUAAUAAUAUUAUCACUGCAUAUGGAUUUCCAUUGAACAGCAUUACAAUCAACAGCCACCAAAAUUAUCAGAAUAAAUAUUAAUAAUUAAUUCCAUGGUAAUCUAAUCUAAUCUUAAAUAAGGGUACGCUACUUACUACUAGUUAUCAUAAAGGGGUCAUAAACUGAAAUUAUGAAAAUCAAAAUUAUAGAUAACGUAGGCAUUGACAAACUUCAUCCAAAAACAUAGGAGUGAAAUUGGAGAUUGUGGUGCUUACCAAUUUUACUUAAAGCGGUUGAAGAUUAUGGCUCUCAAUGUGAAAAACUGUUGUUUGAUGGCAAGGCAACAAACAUGAAAAUCAAUAGAGUCCGAAGCAUUAAAACUUCUAUUUGUUAUAAAACACCGUACGUGAAAUUGAAUUGCAAUAGUUUAUACAAAUUAUUGUGUUUGGAAAGCAAAUUUUUCAAUAAAUAUUAUUUUACUAGUAUCACAAUUAUAAUUUUUAAUUAAUUUUUUUAUCUUUUCAACAAAUAUUUUUUUUUAUCUUACAUAUAUGAUACCAUCAGAAGUGCCACAAUAAUUAUUUCAAGUAUUAUUUUAAUAUUAUUCAAAUAAUCUGGCAAUCAUAAAUAUUAUUCAAGUGCUAGUUUAAUAUUAUUAAGUACUAGUUAAUCAUUGCUUAGCUUGAACCAAUGCAUGCUUGAUAUAUUAUUAGUUUCACUCCCUAACUGGCCCUACUUUUGCAGGUUUCAAUUUCUCAAAAAUUAUAAGUAAAUUUGGAGCUCUCUAUUGGCCCUACUUUUCUAGCUUUCAAUUUCUAAAAAGUUAUAAUUGAAUAAAAUUUAAAAAAUGAAAAAGUUCAAAAAAAGUUAUUUUAAUGAGAACCCACUAAACCAAUAUUGCAGGAAUUUUAAGACAGUAAAACUAAAGGAGGGGAGCAAAAAUUUGAAGAAAUUGUAAGACUUAUGUUGUGUUUGGAAUGUGUGCUUUUUUCAAAAAAAAAUUAUCAUCUUUUAUGAAUAUAUUUUUCCAUCACUUUUUUAUCUUACAUUUAUCAAAUCAUUAUCAUAUAUUUUUACAAAAAAAAAAUAUCAUUAUCAUAUCUUGUAUGAAUACAUUUUUUCAUCACUUUUUCAUCUUACAUUUAUCAAAUCAUUAUCAUAUACUUUUACAAAAAAAAAAUCUAAAAAAAUAGCAAUAUAAGCGGAUCAAAGAAAAUCCUCCUGUGCUUGAGAAAAACAUAAAUAAAAAUAGGGACAAUAUAUGAAAUCCUCGAACACACAAGGAAAGAAAACAUGAUGACAAAUUAGAAAUUAAUUAACCGGGAGAAAAUCAAUUAAAUAGUUAAAAAUAUUGAAAACAAAAAUUUGAUUGUGGGCGUUUGCAAGCACCUUUUGAAUCAGAGGAGAGUCGAGUGGAGGAAGGGUCCUUGGAUGAAGACUACGGUUAGUAUGGAUGGGGACCAGAGAUGAUGCAUUGAUGCUUCGAGCAAAACGAUUAGGAUGGUGGUCAAAAGACGUGGCGGAUGUGAUUGAGAAACAGAUUAGCAUUCAAGGUGCCACUGGUCCAUUACGCCACUAACACUCUUUAUCCAUGAAAAACAUCAAAGUUUUUCAUGUCUAUCAUGUCUAUUGUUACUCUUUAUAACCCAACUGCCACUGUUUAUACAGUUCUAAUGGUAUUAGCGAAACAGUUGGACUAAUGGCUAACGCAUGUGCAGUGGGGUCUUUUUUUACUUUCUGGACAGUAGAAAUCAAUGUACAGAAAAGAAGAGAGCACUUGUGUUUGAGCCUUGAGGUUCUGCAGAUCUUUCUUAUCUCCUUUCAUAUUUGAGAACAGUUUCAUCUCUUAAAUUGAGAUCGAUACAUUCUGGUUCCCUUGUUAAUCUUCCUUUUAGUAGAUGGCCUCCACUAGUGUCACUUGUAUUUCUUCCAUCCUGGAUGAUCUGCAAGCGCUGGAGAACGAUUGUCAAUUUUUUGCAAAUGGGCCGCCGAAGUACCUGAAACGCAUGCUAAGCUAUCUGAGAACAUUUCUUCUGUGUGCGAGAAAAUACAGCAACCAUGAUGUGCAAUUACCAUUUGACAACAAAAAGAACCAGGCAGAUAAUCAUAAAGCAAGCCUAGAAGCUCUGGCAGUUCGGAUUCGAGAUGCCAUUCCCAAGAGGGGAAAAAAGAUCCGAUGGGAUGUGGUCUAUGAUUUAGAAAAAGACAUUAAAUCCUUCGAACAAGAAAUUUGCGAAUGGUAUGUCUUUUUCUUGGGUUCCUCGUCACAGCAGUCCAGUAAUUCGCUCGUUCGACAAGAUGACCUUAUGGAAUUUAUGGAUUCUCUAGUGAAUUAUCUUCCAAGGAGUCGGCCGGCAUAUGAAGUUGGACUAAUUAAAGCCCUUGAAGAGAAGCUGGCAUUCCUGAAAAACUUCAUCCGUUUUGUCACACUGCAUGGUGUUGAAAACACAGAAUUGAGACCUUUGUUAGUUCACACUGAAGCUGUGGCUGUCAAUGCAGCACACCUCUCUUAUAAGUGCCAGUUUAAGAAGGGUUUCGGACCGCCCAAGGAUAUCAAGGAAAGCAUUUCGGAACUGCUGCAGAAGAUUAUUCCUGUUGAACCGCAAGUCCUUGGGACUUGUAUCCAGGCCCUGAGUGCUUCGAAAUUAUCAAGACAAUCAUACGGAGAUACAGAUGAGCACAUAUUGAGUGACUUCCACCAUUCUCUCCUGUGUAAUCUUUGGGAUAAACUAAAGCGUGGUUCUUGUGCUGUGAUUUUGCGUCAACUACAAAUGUUUUAUGAGGGGCUAAAUUCCUUGAGAACCAUUUUGAAGGAGAAGCCAAAGGAGUUCGAUGAGAAAGUAAGAGAUCCUACUCGAGUCGUGAAUUGUUAUGGAGGAGAUGUUAUUUCCCCACUCUCUCUGAAUGCAAUCAAAGACGCCAUACAAGCCAAGGAUAUGGAUAUUGUGUGUUCUGAGUUAUUGAAAAUAAUUAAGCUCAUCGAUGCAGUAAUCACAGAGAAGUGUCCAGAAUCAUCAUCGUUCAAUUUUCCUAAGACCAAUGGACUGGGCUUUGUUGAUUCCCUUCUAGAAAAGAUGAUGGAUGUGACAAGUUCUGAGGCUGGUUCGAUUGCUUUGAUCGAUCAUCCAAUUCAAAAAGUCCUGGAAGAACUUGAUUGUUUACGCUCUUUGCUGAGGAAAAUUGUGGAGCUGCACAACGAAGACGAGGACGUCCAGGCAAUUUGGAAUCGUAUUGUUGGGGUGGCAUAUAGGAUAGAGUUUCUUAUUGACUCCUUAAUAACUGGAAAUAUCUUAGAUUCUUCUUCAAUGUCCAUUCAUUCCAUUUUAGAAGAAAUGAACAUCAUUAAAGCUGCGGCCUGGAAGAUUUGUGAUAGCGAAAGACUUGGUGGAAAAGUUAAGGAAGUAACGAAGAGAUUCAAUCACAUGCCACAAGAAGGAAGUAAGCCAAUAGUCAAUGAUGUGGUGGUGGGAUUCGAGGAUGAGACGGCAUCGAUUAUCAAUCAACUCAGAAAUGGAUCACUCCAAGUGAAAAUUGUUUCCAUUGUGGGUAUGCCGGGAUGCGGUAAGACAACUUUGGCUAGAAAAGUGUACAAUGAUUCUUCAGUGAAGUCCCAUUUUUAUGAGCGUGCUUGGUGUACUGUUUCUCAAAUAUAUGACAAGAGAAAUCUGUUGCUUCAAAUUUUGACUUGUAUUGAGUCCAAGCUUCCUGAGUAUGUUUUUAAGAUGGGUGAAGAAGAUCUGGAUGAUUUUAAGAUGGGUGAAGAAGAUCUGGCUCUUAAAGUCAAAAGACGUUUGCUGAAAAACAGAUAUCUCAUUGUUUUGGACGAUUUAUGGGACAUUGAUGCAUGGAACGGAUUGGAAGCCUCAUUCCCUGAUGAUGGAAAUGGAAGUAGAGUUAUCUUGACAAGUCGGCUCCGUGGUGUUGCUCCGCAAGACAAACUCGACCAUGAACCAUAUUCUCUUCGUCAACUCGCUCCUAAUGAGAGCUGGGAUUUGCUAAAAGGGAAGUUAUAUCCUGGACAAGAUUUGGCUCCUCCAGAACUAUGUGAAAUUCGACAGCAAGUCGUGGAAAUGUGUCAAGGACUACCUCUUACGGUUGUCAUUCUUGCCGGAAUUCUCUCAAGGCUGGACCGACAUGAUUGGAAAGAAGCUGUGGAAGGUUUAAGUUCAAGGAAUGUUUCUAGUACGGAACAAUGCACCGCUACAUUAGAGCUGAGUUACAAACAUUUACCUGAUACUUUGAAGGCAUGUUUUCUUUAUUUUGGAGCCUUUCCAGAAGACCAUGAACACAAUACCAAAAGGUUGAUUUCUCUAUGGGUCGCUGAAGGAUUUGUUCAAAAAACUCAGCUCAAGAGAUCAGAGGAUGUGGCAAAUGAUUACCUGAUGGAACUUAUUAGCAGAAGCUUAGUCACAGUUUCCAAACCAAGAUCCAUUGAUGGGGUCAAAGCCUGUCGCAUUCACGAUUUGUUAUAUGAGUUUUGCGUGACAAAAGCCAAAGAAGAAAACUUUUCGCGGCUGGUACGUAGGGAUGAUAAACUAUCUGAUAUCAAUGUGCCAUUCUACCUACGCCGCUUAUGCAUUGAUUCUAAGGUGGAGCACUUUGACAACUUGAGGUUAUUUUCUCCUGCCAUACGCAGUCUAUUAUUAUUCAGUCACGAUGAAGACCGUAGAAGUAGUUUUGACCUUCGAUUCAUUUUUCACAUCAUCAAACUUGCCAAAGUGUUAGAUUUGAGCCAAAUUAAUCUAGGAAGCACUUUUCCCAGAGAACUAGAACUGCUUGUUCACUUGAGGUACUUGGCAAUUCUAGUUAAUGGUAGGCCCGUCCCCGCAUCAAUAAGUUAUCUCACAAACUUGGAAACAUUGAUUUGGCGAAAUUCUUCUGAUCACGGUUCAAUAAACUUGAGAACUUGGAUUUGGCGAAAUCCUUGUGUUCAUGGUUCAGUUUCAUUGCCAGAUACUAUAUGGAACCUGAAGAAACUAAGGCAUUUAGAACUAAUUGAUGAGGCCGAUAAGAAUUACCAUGUUAGAUUCCCUGACAACAACCUUGAUAACUCUUCACAGUUGUGUGACUUAGAUAUCUUGUCCUGUCUAAGCCUCAAUCCUCGGAAGAACAUCAACAAGCUGUUGAGAAAGUUUCCAAAUAUCCGCAAGCUGAGAAGCUCUCUUAAUCUCGAUCAGGGCUGUGAAUAUCAUGUAGCAAUGGAUUGUCUAAGUCAUUUGGAAUCACUCAGUCUGAGUUGCGUUGUUUACGGCGGUGACCGAUAUCAGUUAGAUUUCCAAUUUCCUUUGACUAUUAAAAAAUUGACCCUGUCUUAUUUUCGCUUGCCAUGGAGCAAAAUGGUAGCAAUUGGAAAUCUACCCAAUCUUGAGGUGCUCAAAUUACUCGACCGAUCAUUUGAGGGGGAACUAUGGGAAAUGGAAGUAGAGAAGUUCCCUAAAGUUAAGUUCCUGAAAUUAGAUUACCUGUAUAUUGUGAAGUGGACAGCCUCCUCCGAGUAUGAGUACGAGGACCAGUACUAUUUUCCUCGUCUCCAGAAGCUAGUGUUGGAAAGCUGUGAUGCAUUGCAGGAGAUCCCUUCUUGUUUGG